GACGAACGCUGGCGGCGUGCUUAACACAUGCAAGUCGAACGAAGUGGCGAACGGGUGAGUAACGCGUCAUCAACCUGCCCUUCAGAGGGGGACAACAGUUGGAAACGACUGCUAAUACCGCAUACUGAAGGAGGGGAUUGCGUCUGCUUAGCUAGUUGGUGGGGUAACGGCUCACCAAGGCGACGAUCCGUAGCUGGUUUGAGAGGACGACCAGCCAAACGGGGACUGAGACACGGCCCAGACUCCUACGGGAGGCAGCAGUGGGGAAUAUUGGACAAUGGGGGAAAGCCUGAUCCAGCCAUCCCGCGUGUGCGAUGAAGGCCUUCGGGUUGUAAAGCACUUUUGGCAGGAAAGCGGUACCUGCAGAAUAAGCACCGGCUAACUACGUGCCAGCCGCCGCGGUAAUAC
rnacentral:rRNA from 1 species